GGAAUAUAGCUCAGUUGGUAGAGUGUCUACCUUGCAUGCACAAGGCCCUGGGUUCAAUCUCCACAACCA
rnacentral:tRNA from 1 species